UCCGAGUUGACCCCGGCAGUCUCCUAUGAGUUCCCACCAUGACGUGCUGGCAACAUAGAACGAGGGUUGCGCUCGUUGCGGGACUUAACCCAACAUCUCACGACACGAGCUGACGACAGCCAUGCAGCACCUGUGUCCACGCCCCUUGCGGGGGCACCCAUCUCUGGGUCUUUCAGUGCCAUGUCAAGCCCUGGUAAGGUUCUUCGCGUUGCAUCGAAUUAAACCACACGCUCCGCUGCUUGUGCGGGUCCCCGUCAAUCCCUUUGAGUUUUAGGCUUGCGCCCGUACUCCCCAGGCGGGCUACUUACUGUGUUAACGCCGGCGCUGGAGGGGUCGAUACCCCCAACACCUAGUAGCCAUCGUUUACCGCGUGGACUAC
rnacentral:misc_RNA from 1 species